rnacentral:rRNA from 1 species
UAACAAGGUCUCCGUUGGUGAACCAGCGGAGGGAUCAUUACUGAGUUUACGCUCUAUAACCCUUUGUGAACAUACCUAUAACUGUUGCUUCGGCGGGUAGGGUCUCCGCGACCCUCCCGGCCUCCCGCCUCCGGGCGGGUCGGCGCCCGCCGGAGGAUAACCAAACUCUGAUUUAACGACGUUUCUUCUGAGUGGUACAAGCAAAUAAUCAAAACUUUUAACAACGGAUCUCUUGGUUCUGGCAUCGAUGAAGAACGCAGCGAAAUGCGAUAAGUAAUGUGAAUUGCAGAAUUCAGUGAAUCAUCGAAUCUUUGAACGCACAUUGCGCCCGCCAGCAUUCUGGCGGGCAUGCCUGUUCGAGCGUCAUUUCAACCCUCAAGCUCUGCUUGGUGUUGGGGCCCUACAGCUGAUGUAGGCCCUCAAAGGUAGUGGCGGAUCCCGGAGCCUCCUUUGCGUAGUAACUUUACGUCUCGCACUGGGAUCCGGAGGGACUCUUGCCGUAAAACCCCCCAAUUUUCCAAAGGUUGACCUCGGAUCAGGUAGGAAUACCCGC